UACCCCUAGCAAAUCUCAAACAACCGUCUCAGUUCAGAUUGCACUCUGCAACUCGGGUGCAUGAAGGUGGAAUCGCUAGUAAUCGCGGAUCAGCAUGCCGCGGUGAAUACGUUCCCGGGCCUUGUACACACCGCCCGUCACACCAUGGGAGUUGGUUUUACCUGAAGACGGUGCGCUAACCAGCAAUGGAGGCAGCCGGCCACGGUAGGGUCAGCGACUGGGGUGAAG
rnacentral:rRNA from 1 species